AGAGUUUGAUCAUGGCUCAGGACGAACGCUGGCGGCGUGCUUAACACAUGCAAGUCGAGCGGAAAGGCCCUUCGGGGUACUCGAGCGGCGAACGGGUGAGUAACACGUGAGCAACCUGCCCUUAGCUUCGGGAUAGCUCCGGGAAACCGGAAUUAAUACCGGAUAUGACCACGGCCGACAUCGGCCACGGUGGAAAGUUUUUCGGCUAGGGAUGGACUCGCGGCCUAUCAGCUAGUUGGUGAGGUAACGGCCCACCAAGGCGACGACGGGUAGCCGGCCUGAGAGGGCGACCGGCCACACUGGGACUGAGACACGGCCCAGACUCCUACGGGAGGCAGCAGUGGGGAAUAUUGCGCAAUGGGCGAAAGCCUGACGCAGCGACGCCGCGUGGGGGAUGAAUGCCUUCGGGUUGUAAACCCCUUUCAGCAGGGACGAAGCGAAAGUGACGGUACCUGCAGAAGAAGCGCCGGCUAACUACGUGCCAGCAGCCGCGGUAACACGUAGGGCGCGAGCGUUGUCCGGAAUUAUUGGGCGUAAAGAGCUCGUAGGUGGUUUGUUACGUCCGCUGUGAAAACCUAGGGCUUAACCCUGGGCUUGCAGUGGAUACGGGCAGACUAGAGGUAGGUAGGGGAGAAUGGAAUUCCUGGUGUAGCGGUGAAAUGCGCAGAUAUCAGGAGGAACACCGGUGGCGAAGGCGGUUCUCUGGGCCUUACCUGACACUGAGGAGCGAAAGCGUGGGGAGCGAACAGGAUUAGAUACCCUAGUAGUCC
rnacentral:rRNA from 1 species